UCUUGAGAAUCAAUGAUAUUCUCUUUGCCCAAGACCAUCAUGUGAGAUCCCACAUUUGAACCAUAGAAAUUUUGGAGACUCACAUCCUAAAACCACGUUUCUCUAUCCCAGUUAAUCCCGUCAUGUAUUGACCCGGAAACAUCAUCUCAUUUGCCUAUAAGACAGAGAGAGAGAAUGAUAGAAAUGCUGGAAGAACGAGCCUUGGGGCGGUAUCGCCCAGAUCUGAAUCCACACAGCAGCUGCUUCGGUCCCUGUAACUCAAGGCUUCCUCUUAAUCCUCUGUCCUCCAUCAACACCUGGCUGAGCAGGAACAACUAUGACCUAGGACCAGGGCCUUCAGGAAUCUUCACCCCUAACUUGAACUUCAUAACACUGGAGAGAGAGACUGUGGAAUGGAAUGACUCUCCAGAGCUGCAGAUUGAAGGCAUAUUUUCAUCUGACUUUGAUCUCAAUGGCGGGAACACCUUCAUGGCCCCUUUAUAGCUGGUAUGUUUUCUUCUUAUGGACAAUGAGAAACAUGUAAUAAACUGUGUUUCCUUCUCGCUAGGAAACCCUGAGUUAAAGCUUUACUUCCCUCUCAGGAACCAUCAAAGAGCCAUAAUCUGUACACCCUGGUGCAACAUUUCCCCUGGAUUUGAUCCCCUUUCAAUUGUUUUAGCCUUAUUUUACAUUUCUUAAAUCUAUUUCUCUAUGUUGCCAUGUGUAUUAUCAAAUGCUAUUUCAGAUGCCAACCAUGAGCUAAAGCAUAUGUUGGAAUUAUUAAGAGAAACAGAGGGAUAUACUUAUGUAAAAUAACACAUAUAAAUGCAAUGCUGAUUUUUUUUCCUUAAGAAGUCUUUAACAAUUGCUUCGGAGGAAUCUGCUUUUCACUGAAGCUUCAAUAUUUUCAGAUCCUUUAAUACCAGGUGUCAAACUUAUUCACUGGGAUGAAUUAUAGAAAGUUGCACCACUUUCUUCUGCCUCAUUUAUUCUCAUUGUAAAUAUGAGAAUUUUAAAAAGUCUUCCUAAUUCUUGCUUUAUGAUGGAUUCUAUACAAACAAUUGAGGUGCUGUUCACUAAACUACUGGAAACAUGGGGAAGUGAGCUAAGGAGAUAGGAACUAUGAAAUGACCUGUUUUAAGAAAAUAUUAUAUGGGAAAAUCAGAUCUAUGUCUCUAAGUCAAAUGUAUAAUAUAUACAUAUAUACAUACACAU
rnacentral:lncRNA from 1 species